UGUGGACACUGACCUAGCUGGUCUCAAAGGCCUCUUUCAAUUUUAACAUUCCCCCAUUCCAUUGACUAACACAGAGAUACUUUUAUUGCAGAAGUGCUUCGGUCAGGCAGUAUCUUUGAAAAUAAUUUGGCCAAUGAAAGCCCUGGCAUUGGAUGAAAGUGCUAGCUGCUGGGAAUGCUACCCCUCCUUUUGGUUCUCUUUCAAGUCCUUCAGGUUCAAACAAUACAGAAGUGUAUAAAGUAAGAAUUGAAAGUCUCUUCGCUGCUCUAAUCUCACUCCUCAGAGGUGAUCACUGGACCUGAGUGAGCAGAAGGCUUUUCAGAAUUACAGCCUGAACUAUUUCUUGAGCAAUUUGGGAACUCAUUUCUAAAGCAGUCCUCAGAUUCACACAACGUAGUUUGUGACGGAGUAUGCCCAGAGCAGUGUGGAAGAUGAUCAAAGUAUGACAUUUCUUCUACCCCAGAGGCUGGCAUUUCUGCAGGCACAAAUGAGCUUGGUUUUCAAGCACUGCUCUUUGAACACAAGGAAUUCCUUUAAUGAUCACGCCGGACUAUAUAGACUUUGGAAUCAGACUCUUUGAAUUCCAGCUCUGCCAUUUACCAACUUUGACACUUUGGACAACGUCUCAUUCUGUCACCCAGGCUGGAGUGCAGUGGCACAAUUAUAGCUCACUGCAGCCUCAAACACCUGGGCUCAAGCAAUCCUUCCACCUCUGCCUCCUGAGUAAUUGGGACUACAGGCAUGUGCCACCACACCCAGCUAAUUUUUAAUUUUUAAUUUUUUUGUAGAGAUGGCGGUCUUGCUAUGUCACCCAGGCUGGUCUUGAACACCUGGCCUCAAGUGAUCCUCCGGCCUUGGUCUCUCAAAGCUCUGGGAUUACAGACAUGAGCCACUGCACCCGGCUCUAUCUCCCCUUCCUAUGUGUGUUAGCUCUAGAACAAGAGAAGCCUUGUUGAGAUUCCUGGCUGCCCACCCCCCAUCACCUCUCUGACUUUGGGCAAGUUGCCUGGCCUCUCUCAGCCUUUAUUUUCUUUUUGUGAAAUGGGGAUAAUAAUAGUACUUGCCUCAUAGGCAAAAUGUUGUGAGAACUAAACGAGAAAAUGCAUGUAAAGCACUUGGCACUUAGUUCUUUUUAUGAUUAUAAUGAUAAUCAGACACAAUAAAUUAUGUCUCACAUCACAUGCUGUUUAGCCUAUUCACUGUUCUAUUUUUCCUGAAGUCAGUUCAGUGUGUAGCAUCCAGAAUUGAACAAAACACCCCCGAUGUGACCUGAUAGUGCAAAGUAAACUAUCAUCUCCUUCAUUCUAGGUAUUAUGUUUCUAUUAAUGCAGUCUAAAGGGUUUUGGAAAUCUGGAUUGUAGCAGGGCAUUGUGGAUCUGCCUGUUGGUGGAGAACCCUAGACUGCAUGCAGCCAUGCACAUGAUCUGGAGACACAGCAGAGACAAGGUCUUUGUCUGUUGCUCAGGAUGGAGUGUAGUGGUGCCAUAGCACACUGUAAUCUUGAAUUUCUGGACUACUGGCAUACACCACCAUGCUUAGGUUCGGGCCACAACAUCCGUGACUUUACCGGUUUUGGUCUCUUCCUUGUAACUUUCGGCUCCAGGAUGCUGCGCAGCUCCUCUCUGCACUAUCUAUCAGAACGUUGCUCUGCGUGCUUGAAAGUUUCGCCAAACAGAAGUACACAAAAACAAACAGAGGCGAAACACAAAUCCCCUCAGCCCUGGAGGAAAAGGCCUUGAAGCUCUUCCAGUGCAGAGGCCACGCAGAGGACAUGCUCCUACCUGUGCACAUCGGCCACGCCUGGGGUGCCUCCUGGAGUCCAGGCUGCUGGCGAUGGAAUCCAUCAUGUUGCUGAUGUCACUGUAAGUCGCAGCCCGCAGGCUGAGCUAUGGGGCAGUUUGAGGGGCCAGAAGUUUUCUCCUGGAUGUCAUCUUCAGCAUACCCAGGAACCAGAGAAAAUGUAAUUCUUCCCAUGCCCAUCUCACUCCUGCAGACUGGGGUCCCUCUUCAGUUUCUUUUUUUUUUUUUAAUCAUAAGCACAUAGGCUCUGGGACAUCAUGGAACCCAGAAGCAUGCUGAAAGGUGAAGCACAAGUCUAAAGUCUUGUUAGUUAUGAAAUCCAGCUCUCCUGGAUUAGGCAAGGGGAAAACCACAUAUUUAAGAUAUACUAGGGCA
rnacentral:lncRNA from 1 species